rnacentral:rRNA from 1 species
UUAAGCGACUAAGCGUACACGGUGGAUGCCCUGGCAGUCAGAGGCGAUGAAGGACGUGCUAAUCUGCGAAAAGCGUCGGUAAGGUGAUAUGAACCGUUACAGCCGGCGAUGUCCGAAUGGGGAAACCCAGUGCAAUUCGUUGCACUAUCGUUAACUGAAUACAUAGGUUAACGAGGCGAACCGGGGGAACUGAAACAUCUAAGUACCCCGAGGAAAAGAAAUCAACCGAGAUUCCCCCAGUAGCGGCGAGCGAACGGGGAGCAGCCCAGAGUCUGAAUCAGCUUGUGUGUUAGUGGAACGGUCUGGAAAGUCCGACGGUACAGGGUGAUAGUCCCGUACACCAAAAUGCACAGGCUGUGAACUCGAAGAGUAGGGCGGGACACGUGGUAUCCUGUCUGAAUAUGGGGGGACCAUCCUCCAAGGCUAAAUACUCCUGACUGACCGAUAGUGAACCAGUACCGUGAGGGAAAGGCGAAAAGAACCCCGGCGAGGGGAGUGAAAAAGAACCUGAAACCGUGUACGUACAAGCAGUGGGAGCACCUUCGGGUGUGACUGCGUACCUUUUGUAUAAUGGGUCAGCGACUUAUAUUCUGUAGCAAGGUUAACCGUAUAGGGGAGCCGCAGGGAAACCGAGUCUUAACUGGGCGUUAAGUUGCAGGGUAUAGACCCGAAACCCGGUGAUCUAGCCAUGGGCAGGUUGAAGGUUGGGUAACACUAACUGGAGGACCGAACCGACUAAUGUUGAAAAAUUAGCGGAUGACUUGUGGCUGGGGGUGAAAGGCCAAUCAAACCGGGAGAUAGCUGGUUCUCCCCGAAAGCUAUUUAGGUAGCGCCUCGUGAAUUCAUCUUCGGGGGUAGAGCACUGUUUCGGCUAGGGGGUCAUCCCGACUUACCAACCCGAUGCAAACUACGAAUACCGAAGAAUGUUAUCACGGGAGACACACGGCGGGUGCUAACGUCCGUCGUGAAGAGGGAAACAACCCAGACCGCCAGCUAAGGUCCCAAAGUCAUGGUUAAGUGGGAAACGAUGUGGGAAGGCACAGACAGCCAGGAUGUUGGCUUAGAAGCAGCCAUCAUUUAAAGAAAGCGUAAUAGCUCACUGGUCGAGUCGGCCUGCGCGGAAGAUGUAACGGGGCUAAACCAUGCACCGAAGCUGCGGCAGCGACACUAUGUGUUGUUGGGUAGGGGAGCGUUCUGUAAGCCUGCGAAGGUGACCUGUGAGGGUUGCUGGAGGUAUCAGAAGUGCGAAUGCUGACAUAAGUAACGAUAAAGCGGGUGAAAAGCCCGCUCGCCGGAAGACCAAGGGUUCCUGUCCAACGUUAAUCGGGGCAGGGUGAGUCGACCCCUAAGGCGAGGCCGAAAGGCGUAGUCGAUGGGAAACAGGUUAAUAUUCCUGUACUUGGUGUUACUGCGAAGGGGGGACGGAGAAGGCUAUGUUAGCCGGGCGACGGUUGUCCCGGUUUAAGCAUGUAGGCUGGUUAUCCAGGCAAAUCCGGAUAAUCAAGGCUGAGGUGUGAUGACGAGGCACUACGGUGCUGAAGUAACAAAUGCCCUGCUUCCAGGAAAAGCCUCUAAGCAUCAGGUAACAUCAAAUCGUACCCCAAACCGACACAGGUGGUCAGGUAGAGAAUACCAAGGCGCUUGAGAGAACUCGGGUGAAGGAACUAGGCAAAAUGGUGCCGUAACUUCGGGAGAAGGCACGCUGGUGUGUAGGUGAAGUCCCUGCGGAUGGAGCUGAGACCAGUCGAAGAUACCAGCUGGCUGCAACUGUUUAUUAAAAACACAGCACUGUGCAAACACGAAAGUGGACGUAUACGGUGUGACGCCUGCCCGGUGCCGGAAGGUUAAUUGAUGGGGUUAUCCGUAAGGAGAAGCUCUUGAUCGAAGCCCCGGUAAACGGCGGCCGUAACUAUAACGGUCCUAAGGUAGCGAAAUUCCUUGUCGGGUAAGUUCCGACCUGCACGAAUGGCGUAAUGAUGGCCAGGCUGUCUCCACCCGAGACUCAGUGAAAUUGAACUCGCUGUGAAGAUGCAGUGUACCCGCGGCAAGACGGAAAGACCCCGUGAACCUUUACUAUAGCUUGACACUGAACAUUGAGCCUUGAUGUGUAGGAUAGGUGGGAGGCUUUGAAGCGUGGACGCCAGUCUGCGUGGAGCCAACCUUGAAAUACCACCCUUUAAUGUUUGAUGUUCUAACGUUGGCCCCUUACCGGGGUUGCGGACAGUGUCUGGUGGGUAGUUUGACUGGGGCGGUCUCCUCCCAAAGCGUAACGGAGGAGCACGAAGGUUAGCUAAUCCUGGUCGGACAUCAGGAGGUUAGUGCAAUGGCAUAAGCUAGCUUGACUGCGAGCGUGACGGCGCGAGCAGGUGCGAAAGCAGGUCAUAGUGAUCCGGUGGUUCUGAAUGGAAGGGCCAUCGCUCAACGGAUAAAAGGUACUCCGGGGAUAACAGGCUGAUACCGCCCAAGAGUUCAUAUCGACGGCGGUGUUUGGCACCUCGAUGUCGGCUCAUCACAUCCUGGGGCUGAAGUAGGUCCCAAGGGUAUGGCUGUUCGCCAUUUAAAGUGGUACGCGAGCUGGGUUUAGAACGUCGUGAGACAGUUCGGUCCCUAUCUGCCGUGGGCGCUGGAGAAUUGAGGGGGGCUGCUCCUAGUACGAGAGGACCGGAGUGGACGCAUCACUGGUGUUCGGGUUGUCAUGCCAAUGGCACUGCCCGGUAGCUAAAUGCGGAAGAGAUAAGUGCUGAAAGCAUCUAAGCACGAAACUUGCCCCGAGAUGAGUUCUCCCUGAGACUUUAAGUCUCCUGAAGGAACGUU